GAUGAACGCUGGCGGCGUGCCUAAUACAUGCAAGUCGAGCGAACAGACGAGGAGCUUGCUCCUCUGACGUUAGCGGCGGACGGGUGAGUAACACGUGGAUAACCUACCUAUAAGACUGGGAUAACUUCGGGAAACCGGAGCUAAUCCCGGAUAAUAUAUUGAACCGCAUGGUUCAAUAGUGAAAGACGGUUUUGCUGUCACUUAUAGAUGGAUCCGCGCCGCAUUAGCUAGUUGGUAAGGUAACGGCUUACCAAGGCAACGAUGCGUAGCCGACCUGAGAGGGUGAUCGGCCACACUGGAGCUGAGACACGGUCCAGACUCCUACGGGAGGCAGCAGUAGGGAAUCUUCCGCAAUGGGCGAAAGCUUGACGGAGCAACGCCGCGUGAGUGAUGAAGGUCUUCGGAUCGUAAAACUCUGUUAUUAGGGAAGAACAAAUGUGUAAGUAACUAUGCACGUCUUGACGGUACCUAAUCAGAAAGCCACGGCUAACUACGUG
rnacentral:rRNA from 1 species